AUUGAACGCUGGCGGCAUGCUUUACACAUGCAAGUCGAACGGUAACAGGGUGCUUGCACCGCUGACGAGUGGCGAACGGGUGAGUAAUGCGUCGGAACGUGCCGAGUAGUGGGGGAUAACGCAUCGAAAGGUGUGCUAAUACCGCAUACGUACUGAGGUAGAAAGUGGGGGACCUUCGGGCCUCACGCUAUUCGAGCGGCCGACGUCUGAUUAGCUAGUUGGUGAGGUAAAGGCUCACCAAGGCGACGAUCAGUAGCGGGUCUGAGAGGAUGAUCGGCCACGCGGGGAAUGAGACACGGCCCAGACUCCUACGGGAGGCAGCAGGGGGGAAUUUUGGACAAUGGGCGCAAGCCUGAUCCAGCCAUGCCGCGUGUCUGAAGAAGGCCUUCGGGUUGUAAAGGACUUUUGUCCGGGAGCAAAUGCCUGGUGUUAAUAGCACUGGGAGCUGAGAGUACCGGAAGAAUAAGCACCGGCUAACUACGUGCCAGCCGCCGCCGUAAUAC
rnacentral:rRNA from 1 species